rnacentral:lncRNA from 1 species
CUCGGGCUGCUGGGCGUAAGGUGCGCUACAGGCAGCACGGUCGGCGGAUUGUGCGCAUGGUAGGCAUUUGAAUUUGAAUGGGCCCAUGAUUGUCGCCCUUAAAUGCGUGCGGUCGGCGGAUGUCGGAGGCGCGCGUGGGCGCGUCCGCUGCUGAUGGCGCGCACGUGCACUGUUGAUGCGUGCGCGCGUACUACGCUCAAAUUUAAUCAGGCCAUUUGGGUGCGGCUUAGCUUACAUGGCUAUUAGAGGGCCGAACAUAGUCAUCGAACCUGCGUUUGGCCCCUCCGAGUCGGCUUGUAUGCUCCGGACCACACUUGGACGAGCGCCUUUGUCGAGCAAUUUUGUAGAGGUCUCAUCACAAUGUUGCAAGUGAUUCCGCCACCCGUAGUUCUCAUGUCUGACCUUUGCCACAGAGGAUUGCAGUAUCUGCAUAUACAAUUUUGCUUAGCAUCAAAGAAAACUUGUUGAUGAAAUGAUCAACUCAAACUGACAACUUGGUCUACUAUUUUUUAUUUUCCAGUAAUUCUAGCCCGACGGACUUGUUUUCUUCCAAUCAUUAUUUUAAGUUCUGAAUUCUGUGUACUAAGUUUAUUUUGGUUGGCUGCAGCAUUUGAAUUUGAAUUUGAAUGGCAACUUGUUGGGCGAUUGGCAAGCACGGGUGGAGCGCUGAUUGGGGCAAGGUUUGCACAGAUUGUGGCUGACCCAUGCAAUAGCCAU